CCCUCUCAAAGGACACAAAGGCUCUGGGACAGAGUCCUUUGCGUCCAGCUCACGGUUGCGUAGCUCCUGCAGAAGUUCCUGUGGAGCCUUUGAACCCACAGCGACCGCGUCUGGACUCUGUGUCCACCGGGUCUGGCGUCCACGUGAGGUGGACGCCGCUCUUCGGAGGUCCAGUCCCCAGACGCUGCUGUGUUCGCUGUCCCCCCUCGCUCGCUCCCUCCCUCCCUCCCUCCCUCCCUCGCUCUCUCGCUCACUCUGCCCUCCCCCCUCGAUCCCUCCCCCCCGGGGCUCCUCCUGGGUAGCCUGUGCUCCUUCACUGCUGCCCGGCGCUGUGGCUGCGCUGCCAUGGCCGACUCGCCCCUCAACCACUCGUGGCCGUCCUUCUCCAAGCUGUGGACCAAGAGAUGGUCCUUCAAAAGAGCGUCCGAGUGCAGGCCGUGUCCCCGGCAGCGCGCCAGUGACCCCGACGUGACCCCGGGGUCUCCCCCGGUCCUGCUGUCCCCCUCCAUCUGCGAGGACGUCUUCUUCAGGGC
rnacentral:lncRNA from 1 species